rnacentral:ncRNA from 2 species
UAAGCAUUACAAGCGCCAGAGCUUGAGCUAGCGCGGGACGGGUACAGCGUGUUUGUAUCCACGGCAGCCAAGCUGACGAGGUGAAGGUGUUCGAAACAUUCGGCGGGGACCUUCCGGUGAUACACAGCCGUAAACCAAGACGGAAAAUGAAUGGGCGACUGUUCACACAACGAUUUUGGUAGGUGUAAGC